rnacentral:rRNA from 1 species
CGUGAACCUUUACUAUAGCUUGACACUGAACCUUGAGCCUUGAUGUGUAGGAUAGGUGGUAGGCUUUGAAGUGUGGAUGCCAGUCUGCAUGGAGCCGACCUUGGAAUACCACCCUUUUAUGUUUGAUGUUCUAACGUGGACCCGUAACCCGGGUUGCGGACAGUUACUGGUAGGUAGUUUUACUGGACCGGUUUCCUCCUAAAGAGUAACGGAGGAGCACGAAGGUUGGCUAAUCCUUGUCGGACAACAGGAGGUUAGUGCAAUG